CACAGACCUGCUCCUCUUUAAACUACCUGGCACCUUCUGCAGACACCAAAAAGUGGGAAGGAUGUUUUGCCACAGUUGUUCAUUAAUUCAGUUACAAUGUGAUUAUUUUAAGUUGUGUUAUUCACAUCUUAUGUGUGUGUGCUUGGAAUUACUUUCUGUCCUUGUGGAAUCAGUGAGAAAAGAUCCAUUUCCUUCCACAGAGCAUGAAAUCAGGAAAUCAAGGGCAUACAUUUCUUAA
rnacentral:lncRNA from 1 species